rnacentral:rRNA from 1 species
AUUGAACGCUGGCGGCAUGCUCUACACAUGCAAGUCGAACGGUAACAGGCCGCUAGGUGCUGACGAGUGGCGGACGGGUGAGUAAUGCAUCGGAACGUGCCCAGUCGUGGGGGAUAACUUCUCGUAAGAGUAGCUAAUACCGCAUACGAUCUAUGGAUGAAAGCGGGGGACCGUAAGGCCUCGCGCGAUUGGAGCGGGCGAUGUUAGAGUCGGUAGAUUGUGGGGUAAAGGCUCACCAGGCCGACGAUCUGUAGCUGGACGGAGAGGAGGACGAGCGGCACUGGGACUGAGACGCGGCCCAGGGUACUGCGGUAGGCAGCAGUGGGGAAUUGUGGACAAUGGGCGCAAGCCUGGUCCAGCAAGGCCACGUGCAGUAAGAAGGCGUUGGGGUUGUAAACUGCUUUUGUGCGGAGCGAAACGGCUCUGGUUAAUACCCGGGGCUAAUGACGGUACCGGAAGAAUAAGCACCGGCUAACUACGUG